ACCUGCUUCAGAACUUGCUGAGAGCCUACUAUGAAGAAAUCUCCAAAGAAGAUGCAUGAGUUUAAUGCAAGGAACUUUAUGAACCAAGCAUCAUGAAAGCAUCCCUGAACCCUUCACAGGGUGCCAGUUAGCACCAGCUUCCCUCCUAGUGCGAUUGCCUGUGGAACUCCUCCUGCUCUAUU
rnacentral:lncRNA from 11 species